rnacentral:lncRNA from 1 species
AUGCUUCGAACAAAAGGAUAGAAGUGCUGGGAUUCAUUAUCCAGGAACAAUAGCGGCAUUGUCAAUGGCUUAUCUUCCAGAUUAUGGUUUAUAGGUAGUGAAAGGUCUAGUUAAGAGAAUAAAGAAGAGUUCUAGACGAUGUGAUGUCUCGCUUGAUGUUAUAGAAUAAUAUAAGAAAAUUUGUUGCAAUCUAAUGUAUGGUAAAACGACAUGAUUUUAGGAAGACUGAGUAAGGAUAAGAAAGGGCAAGUGAGAAGUUACGAGAAUGAACAAGUCCUCGGGAUUAAGCCCAUGAAAACAAGAAGAGCAGAUGGUUUCUCUAAGCUAUACAAACCUCAGUAUAUCCUGAAUGAACUCAAAGGAGUCUAAGACUAAUG